rnacentral:rRNA from 1 species
UACGUAGGGUGCAAGCGUUGUCCGGAAUUAUUGGGCGUAAAGAGCUCGUAGGCGGCUUGUCGCGUCGGCUGUGAAAACCUGGGGCUCAACCCCGGGCCUGCAUUCGAUACGGGCAGGCUCGAGUUCGGUAGGGGAGACUGGAAUUCCUGGUGUAGCGGUGAAAUACGGCAGAUAUCAGGAGGAACACCGGUGGCGAAGGCGGGUCUCUGGGCCGAUACUGACGUGAGGAGCGAAAGCGUGGGGAGCGAACAGG